rnacentral:rRNA from 1 species
AUCAUUACCAAGAACCACACAGAAAAGGGAGGCAAAGGGGCCUACAGGGCUAGUAGCUUAUACGUUGUUGAACGUCCUGCCUGGACCCGGAGCCGCCCCCAUCUAAACCCUCUGCGUACCUGUCCCUUCUUGCUUCCCCCGGCAUCUCGUCGGGGGGAGGUAACAACCAAAACUCUCUGUGAAUCAAACAGCCGUCAGAAUUAUAAAACAAACAAAAGUUAAAACUUUCAACAACGGAUCUCUUGGUUCCCACAUCGAUGAAGAACGCAGCGAAAUGCGAUAAGUAAUGUGAAUUGCAGAAUUCAGUGAAUCAUCGAAUCUUUGAACGCACAUUGCGCCCCCUGGUAUUCCGGGGGGCAUGCCUGUUCGAGCGUCAUAAAAACCUCCUCCCCCUUCGGGUUUUGUUACUAUCGUUGGGGGGUUUUGGCCUAAUGGGAUAGCGAUUGGCAAUUCGUUUCCCAAUGUCCUAAAUAGACGUAGACCCGCCUCCAGAUGCGACAGCACCGAGGCCAUCAACCGUGGAGUUAUGGGAUAUAAUAGGCUUGCAGUAAAAUGCUCACCUCUCUCCACACGCCGAUGGCACGACAGUUGCAGUUGCGGGCGUAAAUUGGAGCCCUUUUCAGGACCCUUGUGGCCUAGCAUCCACCAUACAUAAUUUGACCUCGGAUCAGGUAGGGAUACCCGCUGAACUUAAGCAUAUC